rnacentral:rRNA from 1 species
ACGGGACUAACACCGAUAUGUCCCGGGGAGUCGUAAGUAGACGUUGAUCCGGGAAUUUCCGAAUGGGGGAACCCACUGUUCGUAAUGGAGCAGUACUUCUAUCUGAAUACAUAGGGUAGAGGAGGCAUACCCGGGGAACUGAAACAUCUCAGUACCCGGAGGAAGAGAAAGCAAACGCGAUUUCCUGAGUAGCGGCGAGCGAAACGGAAUUAGCCCAAACCAGAAGGCUUGCCUUCUGGGGUUGUAGGACACUCCAUUGGAGUUACCAAGAAAUUCUUUAGAUGAAGCGAUCUGGAAAGAUCCGCCAUAGGAGGUAAGAGCCCUGUAAUCGAAAGAGAAUUUCCUCCGGAGUGGAUCCUGAGUACGGCGGAACACGUGGAAUUCCGUCGGAAUCCGGGAGGACCAUCCUCCAAGGCUAAAUACU